rnacentral:tRNA from 1 species
GUGCCCCUAGCUCAACUGGUAGAGCAAUUCCCUUUUAAGGAAGAGGUUCCGGGAUCAUCCCCCGGGGGGCACA